AAGUCGUAACAAGGUUUCCGUAGGUGAACCUGCGGAAGGAUCAUUAACACGUAUCCACGUAUCAACCAAUGAGGACUGUUUUCCCGUCUCCCUACGUAUGAAAUGAAUUGAUGACCAGUUUGAGGGAGUGAUGGGACUGCUUCGGCGUCGGCCUUCCUGGUUACUAAGUCGAAUCGAAAGAUUUGCCUUGACAAUAAGAUUCAUGCGGAGGCUCCAUUCCUGCUACUUUGAUCUCCAUCAUGAUCGUGGCGGCAGGAAUACUUUAACAAAUUUCACCCCUUUUUGCUAGUUGACUUUUUAUAUGUGUUGUUAUGCGCAAGCAUGAUACGCACGUUUAAUUAAUUGAACGUUAAAAAAUACAACUCUUAGCAAUGGAUAUCUUGGUUCUC
rnacentral:misc_RNA from 1 species